AGACCCGUCCAGUCCAGCAGGCCCUGGCGCACACGCUGCCGCCGCCAGGGGGCGCCCGGAGACGCGGAGGGGGGGGGAGUCCUCCGCGGGAGUCCUCCAUCCUUCCCACCAUUCCGCUUUCCCCACUUAGGCGGAGCGGAGUGAAAGGUCGUCUCUCUUGGUCACCGACAGAGUCGUCGGGCGGGGAGCUGCGAGCAGAGACGGCGGGGGCCGAGGGAGAUUAUGUGAAAGAGACGCCGGGAGAAGGAGAAGAAGAGGAAAAAUCCCACGUUCAGACCGAGGCAGAGACGGUUCAGGGUCACCACCUUCGUCGCUACAAAAGGUUAGGAUCACCUCCUGCCCCACUGCAGUUUAACUGAAUUGUUUACUUUCAAAGGU